rnacentral:other from 1 species
GGGUUUCUGCCCUUCUCGUGAACGGUAGCAUUCCGGUGGCCUUAAACACUUCCGAGGGAGCUGGCUCUGUUCAGGUCCUGGCCUGAUUACCUGGCGCCCACCUGUAUAUGCAGGUCCUCGGGAAUCUAAACCACACGGUCGCGGUGGUUCCCGC